rnacentral:rRNA from 1 species
UACGUAGGGUGCGAGCGUUAAUCGGAAUUACUGGGCGUAAAGCGUGCGCAGGCGGUUUUGUAAGCCAGAUGUGAAAUCCCCGGGCUUAACCUGGGAAUGGCAUUUGGGACUGCAAGGCUCGAGUGCGGCAGAGGAGACUGGAAUUCCUGGUGUAGCAGUGAAAUGCGUAGAUAUCGGGAGGAACACCGGUGGCGAAGGCGGCCCCCUGGUUGGAUACUGACGCUGAGACGCGAAAGCGUGGGGAGCAAACAGG